rnacentral:siRNA from 1 species
CUUCCACCAACCUACCAAAUUC